UACGUAGGGCGCAAGCGUUAUCCGGAAUUAUUGGGCGUAAAGAGCUCGUAGGCGGUUCGGUAAGUCGGAUGUGAAAUCUCCACGCUCAACGUGGAGGGGCCAUUCGAUACUGCCGUGACUCGAGUCCGGUAGGGGAGUGUGGAAUUCCCGGUGUAGCGGUGAAAUGCGCAGAGAUCGGGAGGAACACCCGUAGCGAAGGCGGCACUCUGGGCCGGUACUGACGCUGAGGAGCGAAAGCGUGGGGAGCGAACAGG
rnacentral:rRNA from 1 species